CCCUUAGAGUUUGAUCCUGGCUCAGGACGAACGCUGGCGGCGUGCCUAACACAUGCAAGUCGAACGAGUCCACCCUUUCGGGGGUGAGGCGAGUGGCGGACGGGUGAGUAACACGUGAGCAAUCUGUCCCUGUGUGGGGGACAACCCGGGGAAACCCGGGCUAAUACCGCAUAGUCAGGCAUCUCUUAUGAGGAGCCUGGGGAAGACGGCCUCUUUACAAUGCUGUCAUGCAGGGAGGAGCUCGCGGGCUAUCAGCUAGUUGGUAGUGGUAACGGCCUACCAAGGCGACGACGGCUACGGGGUCUGAGAGGACGACCCCGCACAUUGGAACUGAGACACGGUCCAGACUCCUACGGGGGGCAGCAGUGGGGAAUUUUGGGCAAUGGCCGCAAGGCUGACCCAGCGACGCCGCGUGUGGGAUGACGCCUCUCGGGGUGUAAACCACUGUCAGAGGGGAAGAAUGAGCCAGGUGUAAAUAAUGCCUGGCUGUGACGGUACCCUCAAAGGAAGCACCGGCUAACUCCGUGCCAGCAGCCGCGGUAAUACGGAGGGUGCAAGCGUUGUUCGGAUUUACUGGGCGUAAAGCGCGCGCAGGUGGGUGUACAAGUCGGAAGUGAAAUCUUGAGGCUCAACCUCGAGGCUGCUCCCGAAACUGUACGCCUAGGGACUGGUAGAGGCUGGUAGAAUUCCCGGUGUAGCGGUGGAAUGCGUAGAGAUCGGGAAGAAUACCCGUGGC
rnacentral:rRNA from 1 species